UACGGAGGGGGCGAGCGUUGUUCGGAAUCACUGGGCGUAAAGCGUGCGUAGGCGGUUAUACAAGUCAGGAGUGAAAUCCCAGGGCUCAACCUUGGAAUUGCUUUUGAGACUGUAUGACUAGAGAUCUAGAGAGGUUGGGGGAAUUCCGAGUGUAGAGGUGAAAUUCGCAGAUAUUCGGAGGAACACCAGUGGCGUAGGCGCCCAACUGGCUAGAUACUGACGCUGAGGCACGAAAGCGUGGGGAGCAAACAGG
rnacentral:rRNA from 1 species